CAGCAGCCGCGGGAACACAGAGGGUGCAAGCGUUAAUCGGAUUUACUGGGCGUAAAGGGCGCGUAGGUGGUUAUUUAAGUGAGAUGUGAAAGCCCCGGGCUUAACCUGGGAACUGCAUCUUAUACUGGGUAACUGGAGUGCAGUAGAGGGUAGUGGAAUUUCCGGUGUAGCGGUGAAAUGCGUAGAUAUCGGAAGGAACACCAGUGGCGAAGGCGGCUACCUGGACUGAGACUGACACUGAGGCGCGAGAGCGUGGGGAGCAAACAGGAUUAGAUACCCGAGUAGUCCCUGUCUCUUAUAC
rnacentral:rRNA from 1 species